rnacentral:rRNA from 1 species
UAUAAGACUGGGAUAACUUCGGGAAACCGGAGCUAAUGCCGGAUAACAUUUGGAACCGCAUGGUUCUAAAGUAAAAGAUGGUUUUGCUAUCACUUAUAGAUGGACCCGCGCCGUAUUAGCUAGUUGGUAAGGUAACGGCUUACCAAGGCAACGAUACGUAGCCGACCUGAGAGGGUGAUCGGCCACACUGGAACUGAGACACGGUCCAGACUCCUACGGGAGGCAGCAGUAGGGAAUCUUCCGCAAUGGACGAAGGUCUGACGGAGCAACGCCGCGUGAGUGAUGAAGGUUUUCGGAUCGUAAAACUCUGUUAUUAGGGAAGAACAAAUGUGUAAGUAACUGUGCACAUCUUGACGGUACCUAAUCAGAAAGCCACGGCUAACUACGUGCCAGCAGCCGCGGUAAUACGUAGGUGGCAAGCGUUAUCCGGAAUUAUUGGGCGUAAAGCGCGCGUAGGCGGUUUCUUAAGUCUGAUGUGAAAGCCCACGGCUCAACCGUGGAGGGUCAUUGGAAACUGGGAAACUUGAGUACAGAAGAGGAAAGUGGAAUUCCAUGUGUAGCGGUGAAAUGCGCAGAGAUAUGGAGGAACACCAGUGGCGAAGGCGACUUUCUGGUCUGUAACUGACGCUGAUGUGCGAAAGCGUGGGGAUCAAACAGGAUUAGAUACCCUGGUAGUCCACGCCGUAAACGAUGAGUGCUAAGUGUUAGGGGGUUUCCGCCCCUUAGUGCUGCAGCUAACGCAUUAAGCACUCCGCCUGGGGAGUACGACCGCAAGGUUGAAACUCAGAG